CGGGGUGCACCAGGCGCGAAAACUUUGCAAUGCGGGAAACCGUGACAAGGGAACUCUGAGUGCCCGUUAAAUCGGGCUGUCCAUCGGUUUAAAUAACCGGUGAAGAAAGGGCCGGGCAAGACCGGUGCCAGCCGCCGCGGUAAUACCGGCGGCUCGAGUGGUGGCCACUAUUACUGGGCUUAAAGCGUUCGUAGCUGGUUUGUUAAGUCUCUGGGGAAAUCUUCCGGCUUAACCGGAAGGCGUCUCAGGGAUACUGGCAGACUAGGGACCGGGAGAGGUGAGAGGUACUCCAGGGGUAGGAGUGAAAUCCUGUAAUCCUUGGGGGACCACCUGUGGCGAAGGCGUCUCACCAGAACGGCUCCGACAGUGAGGGACGAAAGCUGGGGGAGCAAACCGGAUUAGAUACCCGGGUAGUCCCAGCUGUAAACGAUGUGCGUUAGGUGUAUCGGUGACCACGAGUCACCGAGGUGCCGAAGAGAAAUCGUGAAACGUNCCGCCUGGGAAGUACGGUCGCAAGGCUGAAACUUAAAGGAAUUGGCGGGGGAG
rnacentral:rRNA from 1 species